rnacentral:rRNA from 1 species
AACGAACGCUGGCGGCGUGCCUAACACAUGCAAGUCGAACGAGAAAGGGGCUUCGGCUCCGAGUAAAGUGGCGCACGGGUGAGUAACACGUGGGUAACCUGCCUCUAAGAUUGGGAUAACUCGUCGAAAGAUGAGCUAAUACCGGAUAAGACCACAGUUCCCGCGGGAACAGGGGUCAAAGGUAGCCUCUGCUUGCAAGCUAUCACUUAGAGAUGGACCUGCGCACCAUUAGCUAGUUGGUAGGGUAACGGCCUACCAAGGCAAAGAUGGUUAGCUGGUCUGAGAGGAUGAUCAGCCACACUGGAACUGAGACACGGUCCAGACUCCUACGGGAGGCAGCAGUGGGGAAUAUUGCGCAAUGGGCGAAAGCUUGACGCAGCAACGCCGCGUGAGUGAUGAAGGCCUUCGGGUCGUAAAGCUCUGUCGGGAGGAACGAAUGCUCCCAAGGUUGACAGCCUCGGGAGGUGACGGUACCUUCAAAGGAAGCACCGGCUAACUCUGUGCCAGCAGCCGCGGUAACAC